GUGAUCGGAGCCUGGCCGCGGCGUGAUCGGGCAGGGCGGGACGCGGCACGUGUUUUGGUCGGAGCGAGGGGCGGGGCCUGAGGCCCUGGAAAGAAUGCGUCCUUGACCGGAGAGGUCGGAAAGCUGGCCGGUUCUAGGUGACAUUCCUGCAUCCGGUCAUUUUUGCAGACAGCGGGAGUCAGAGCUUAUUGGCCUGAGUGUCCCGCUGACGCCCCUCCUCUGGCGUCUCUGGGCCUCUUCCGCUCUGUUACGGGGUCAGGGGAAGCCGAAACGGGCAGUCACCCAGAAGGCGCCCGCUGAAACCCGCCCAUUCUUCCCAGGCCCCGAGAAAACGCCGCCCCCUCCGGGAAGUCCUCGAGCCUGCAGGAGACAUCUAGCCCGCUGUCCAGGGCACCUUUUUUUUUCUCCCUAUAUUUCGGUUGCUCGCGUCUCUUGGUGUGGUUUGCCCACGUCUGCAGCGCCAGAAGGACUCUCCCAAGGCCAGGGAGCCUGGCUGUUUAAUAAGUCCACGUAGGUGAACGAGCGAAUCGAAGGUAUCCACCAGCCUCCCUGCUUGAACAUCC